CCUACGGGAGGCAGCAGUAGGGAAUAUUGCUCAAUGGGGGAAACCCUGAAGCAGCAACGCCGCGUGGAGGAUGAAGGUUUUCGGAUUGUAAACUCCUUUUGUUAGAGAAGAUAAUGACGGUAUCUAACGAAUAAGCACCGGCUAACUACGUGCCAGCAGCCGCGGGAAUACGGAGGGUGCAAGCGUUACUCGGAAUCAAUGGGCGUAAAGAGCGCGUAGGCGGGAUAGCAAGUCAGAUGUGAAAUCCUAUGGCUUAACCAUAGAACUGCAUUUGAAACUGUUAUUCUAGAGUAUGGGAGAGGUAGGUGGAAUUCUUGGUGUAUGGGUAAAAUCCGUAGAGAUCAAGAGGAAUACUCAUUGCGAAGGCGACCUGCUAGAACAUAACUGACGCUGAUGCGCGAAAGCGUGGGGAGCAAACAGGAUUAGAUACCCCUGUAGUC
rnacentral:rRNA from 1 species